UUGACCUUUGUCACCAUUUUUUGCUGUUUUUUUUUUAUCCUUUAACUCCAUAACAGCCAGUCAUAGGUAGUCCAACCUAUACCUUUAUGGAAUCCUUAUGAUCAGACAAAUAAUGUGGAAUACCUUUCAAUAUGAUUGGAGCAU